rnacentral:rRNA from 1 species
UACGUAGGGGGCGAGUGUUAUCCGGAUUUACUGGGCGUAAAGCGCGUUAAGGCGGUUGGCAAAGUUGGUUGUGAAAUCUCAGGGCUCAACCCUGAAAUUGCGACCAAUACUGGUCGACUAGAGUGUGAGAGAGGAAGGUGGAAUUCCGGGUGUAGCGGUGAAAUGCGUAGAGAUCCGGAGGAACACCAGUGGCGAAGGCGGCCUUCUGGGUCGACCCUGACGCUGAGAGGCGAAAGCGUGGGGAGCGAACGGG